UACGACCAUAUGGCGUUCAAACAUCGGUUCCCGUACGAUCACCGAAGUUAAGCAAUGUCGAGCCUGGUCAGUACCAAUAUUGGUGUCCGCUUGGGAUGUGCUGGUGUUA